UGUUAUAUCUUUUAUCUCGUUCAGAUCUAUUUCGUACUUUUGAUCCCGUUCGACAAGUUUCGCGAAUAUUUGAAGAGAUAUUUGAUUAGGAUAUCGGGUGAUAGAGAAGGGGGUGAGGAUCGAUCAAUGAAACGCAUCUGUCUCUCUCUCUCUCUUUCUCUCUCUCUCUCUCUCUCUCUCUCUCUCUCACACACACACACACGCAAGCAAAUUCUCCCUCUCAGUCAGUGCGUGAGCUCUUUGGAGUAAACGUUACGUCAGUGGGCGUCGCGUGACGUAGCGGAAGUCGUGCGUCACCGGUGAUGUAAAGUAACGGGCGGAAGAGGUGGAGGAAGAGAAGGAGAAAGGGUGGGGGAGGAGGAACGUCCGAAAGAGGCCAUUGACGAGAACGAGCGAGCGAGCGAGCGAGAGAGGGAGAGAGGACUUGUUGCAUGUCCUUUUCCAGCCGGCAAUCUUUACAAUCGUCGACAUCAUACAAAAUUUUGUCCACUCCCUUGAUUGGAUUUUACGGGAUUAUGAUUUCAAAAGCCCCGAAUCGAAAACUGACGGAUAAAGAGCCAGAGGGAGGAGAUAGAGAGAGAGGAGAGAGAGAGAGAGAGAGAUAGAGAUAGGGAUAUAGUAGGAAGCAUCGUAAAAACGUGUCCGCGCAUAUUUUCAUCGAGGGCGCGAGUACUUGUUGCAUAUCCGUUUGCGCAUGUGUCGUCUUCUUUUAAGAUUCCCCGUUAGUGGCUCGGAGAAAUGAGGAAAAAUUGUUGGAGGUGAAUCUCUUCGUCUAUGAGAAAUUUAACGUAACCAAUAGGUAAUCGUAGAUAGCGUAUACGCGCUUCUCACGAUUACUUCGAAACUGAAAAUCUUGUAGGGGUAAGAUGGAGAGAGAAAAGAAAAAGUGUUAGCGAAAUAGAGAGAAACACGGGAGUGGUUUUUCAUGAAUCCUUGGAGAUUCUCUUUCCCUUGGAUUUUCUCAAACAGCUGCCGCUUCUUCGUUUAAUCAAGACAACCUACCCUGUUAUAUUAGCAGUCUCGAUCUAGCAGCUCGUGGCGGCUCGUUAAUUAGCAAUUUGCUUUCUCGUUGUAAAGGCGAACGGUAACAUCGCUUGCAUAAUCUCUCUUCCUCUCUCUCCCUUUUUAUCGCGUGCUCUUCUGGAUGGCGAAAUGAAGGAGGGAGGGAGGGUGAGAGUGAGUUAGGAGGGGAAAUGAGGAGGGAGGAAAGAGUAGCGAGGCAGACAGCAGCGGUGUCGUUUAAAACUCCGGAUAGUUCUUCGUAAUCUGGCACGUUUCCCGAGCUCGUUAUUUUCUAGCGAACGUAUGCUCUUUUGUAAAUUCGUCUAGUCGUUAGACGACGGCAAUGAUCUUGUUUCAACCCCCCUGCCCUUCUCUCUUUUUUCUCUCUUUUCUCUCUCUCUUUUCUCUCUCUCUUUUUCUUUUAUCUUUCCCCCCUCUUUCCUUUUUUUUUUUGCUUAACGAGCACAAGGCAUGAUGUUUAAGAGUGUACACGCGCGACACCGUAUGUCGAUUUCCCCAACCCUUCUUCCGACACGUCCAACGGAAUCUACUGGGCCACGAGGCUUAUCGCGGAACGAAGACCGCAAUCGCGAUUUUUAUAUUUCCUGUUUUUUCCUCUUGUUCUUCCCUUUUUUUUCAUUUUUUCUUCUUUUUUUUCUUUUUUCGAGUGCGGUCAUGGCAAACCAUAAAGUAUCAUAAUAUAUCAUUUUCAUGGUGCGUCGUUUCACGUUCACACCUCGCCCCGAUAGACGGUUAACGCGAAUCACCAUUUUUAUCUUCGCAUCCUUAUUAAAAAGAUACCAACAAAAGUUGGUAUGUAUGUAUAUAUAUAUAUAUACUGUGUAUAUGCACGUAUGCACGUAGAUACGAGGACGUACAUGCACAUAUAUAUAUAUUUAUAUAUAUAUAUAUAUUUAUAUAUGUAUAUAUAAGUUCUCGAGCAGGCAGGACGACCUACUUUAAACGCGCUUUACGAAACUACGAUAGAAAGUCCGUUGUCGUUCGUGACGCUUGAAAAUGACGUCGGUUUGGACGUCACUCGCGUGUGACAAUAAAAAGUUAAAGAGGAUCCUUUCGAAGAUCAAUUAGUUCCUUUUUCUCGGAUGUCUAUCGUCCUCGUUGAAAGAGAAAAAAAAACCAAUAGAAAAUAACGUAGAAAAAAGAAAGAAGAAAGGAGAAAGAAGAAAAAAAAACGGCAACGAAAAAGAAGAAACAAGUUGAGGACGGCCAUCUUCUAUUAUCGCGGUCGGUAAGGUAGAUCCCCCUUUGGAAAUUUACCGCUCUUAUUUUUUUAUCCGCGAGAUGUCGACAGUCGCGGCAGGUGCGUUCGACCAAUAGGCUCUCUCUAUACGGCUUCACCCCCUUCGGCCCCUUUGGCGUCUUUGGUACGGCCACACUGGCGCCCCCCUCCCGCCGCCCGUCGUCGCGGCUCGGUUCGCCGCCGUCGAUCGGCGCUCAGCCGACAGUGGCACGGACAGUGAUCGCAAUAUGGCUUCCGCCAGCGCUAGUAAGUGAGAGUACCGUCGAAAGGUGAUAACGGACAUGGUGGGAUUUCGAAGGGUGCGCGGGUCUUUGCGCGCGUGCAAUUGACCGGCAUUUCUCGUCGCCGUUGUCGUCGUCUUCGUCAUAAUCGUUGUCGUUGAGUUUCUCGGUGAAACACGUACCUUUUCGAGAAGACUUAACGGCGAAUCUCGUGCUUACGCGCUCGUUAGAAAGUAGCAACGGGUGGAAGUAGUAGAGAAGGAGAAGGAGAAGAAGAAGAAGAAGAAGAAGAAGAAAAAGAAAAAGAAAAAGAAGAAGAAGAAAAAGAAGAAGUAGUAGUAGUAA